AUAACGUAUCUGGGGUCCCCUUUUUAUAGGCGGAGGGUACAAUAGACUGAUAGCGAUGUUUGUAACCGUCUGGUAGUGGGCCGUUCGGGGCCAGGAGGAGUUUGUUAUGAAGAGUAGCGGAGUGGAAUCGUGGCCAUCAUCGUGACCUGCCACGUGGAGUCUAUUGUGGGGAGUGGAGCGGCAUCUGUUGUCGUGACUUGUCAG
rnacentral:lncRNA from 1 species